rnacentral:rRNA from 1 species
UCCGUUUGAUCCUGACGGACCUGACUGCUAUCAGAUUGAUACUAAGCCAUGUUAGUUAUUGUAGUAAUACAAGGCAGACGGCUCAGUAACACGUAGUCAACCUAACUUAUGGACGGGGAUAACCUCGGGAAACUGAGAAUAAUACCCGAUAGGUCAUGAUGCCUGGAAUGGUUUAUGACUCAAAUAAUUUAUUGCCGUAGGAUGGGACUGCGAGCUAUCAGCUUGUUGGUGAGGUAAUGGCCCACCAAGGCUAUUACAGCUACGGGCUCUGAGAGGAGUAGCCCGGAGAUGGGUACUGAGACAAGGACCCAGGCCCUAUGGGGCGCAGCAGGCGAGAAAACUUUGCAAUGCGCGAAAGCUCGACAAGGUUAAUCUGAGUGGUUCCUGCUAAAGGAACCUUUUGUUAGUCGUAGAACCACUGAUGAAUAAGGGGUGGGCAAGUUCUGGUGUCAGCCGCCGCGGUAAAACCAGCACCUCAAGUGGUCAGGAUGAUUAUUGGGCCUAAAGCAUCCGUAGCCUGUUCUGUAAGUUUUCGGUUAAAUCCAUAAGCUCAACUUAUGGGCUGCCGAAAAUACUGCAGAACUAGGGAGUGGGAGAGGUAGACGGUACUCGGUAGGAAGGGGUAAAAUCCUUUGAUCUAUUGAUGACCACCUGUGGCGAAGGCGGUCUACCAGAACACGUUCGACGGUGAGGGAUGAAAGCUGGGGGAGCAAACCGGAUUAGAUACCCGGGUAGUCCCAGCUGUAAACGAUGCAAACUCGAUGAUGCGUUGGCUUGUUGCUAGCGCAGUGUCGCAGGGAAGCCGUUAAGUUUGCCGCCUGGGAAGUACGUACGCAAGUAUGAAACUUAAAGGAAUUGGCGGGGGAGCACCACAAGGGGUGAAGCCUGCGGUUCAAUUGGAGUCAACGCCUGAAACCUUACCCGGAGAGACAGCAGAAUGAAGGUCAAGCUGAAGACUUUACCAGACAAGCUGAGAGGUGGUGCAUGGCCGUCGCCAGCUCGUGCCGUGAGAUGUCCUGUUAAGUCAGGUAACGAGCGAGAUCCCUGCCUCUAGUUGCCACUAUUACACCCUGGUGUAGUAGGGCGAAUUAGGGGGACCGCCGCAGUUAAUGCGGAGGAAGGAAGGGGCCACGGCAGGUCAGUAUGCCCCGAAACUCUGGGGCCACACGCGGGCUGCAAUGGUAACGACAAU